GUCGGGUGUGGUGGCUCACACCUGAAAUCCCUGCACUUUGAGAAGCUGAGGCAGGAGGAUUGCUUGAUCCCAGGAGUUCAAGACCAGGCUGGGCAACAUGCACUUCACUUCACCAGUUGAAGACCACCUUAUCUGAAUUGUGAAAUGGAGAGGAAGUGACUGAAAAAUCGUGUGAGACAAAUCACAAAAAAACAGCAGGCAAUUACAAGAGACAUCUAGCAACAGCUAUGUCCUUAACUUCAAACCAUCUGCUGAACAUGUAGAUACCCUUGGAAAUUGCAAGUGUAAGAAUGAAGUGUUCUAAACCUUGGAGUGGAAGCCUUCAGCUGGGAGUCAUUCCAAUGGUCUGCAGAGAGAUGGUCAACAUCAGAACCAGAGUAAUAGCAGUGAAGAUGUAAAGGAGAAUAUGAAUGAAAAAAUGUGCACCAGAUUGAAAUCUUAGGACUGACUUCAAAAAUUCUCUUCUAUUGGAAAAAUGGAGAGGAAGAGGAAAGGGUCUAUGAUGACACACAAGUUUCUGACUUGGCAACCUGAAUAGUGUUCAGAAGUGUAAGUAAAGGGGAGAUGGAAGAAUAUCGGUAUUUUAUUCUGAUAUAUGUAAAAAUACUUUUAAUCAACUGAUUUUUGGACAUAACUGAGCCAAUUUUUCCAACAAAACUGGCUAUGCAAAAGAACCCCAAAUUACGGUGUUUCGGAUGGCUAAAGAAUGUGCUGAGAUGUUGAUUCCCUGGGCCAUCAAGCUGGUGCAUCCGCAGUGUGAUUGGUAAAUAUUUAUUUAUUUCUACAGAGUCCAAGACGUGAGAAUGGUUUUGUGGCAUAAAAGUCAUGAUGUCGACGUAAAACAUUUUCUUGUGACUAGCAAAACAUGUUAAAUUGCAUUGUCCAUUUGUGUAUGAAAAGAGAAAACCUUUAAAAAUCUCUUCUGGGCAUCAUGUUUAGGCACAAAAUUGGGAGUAUUUGUUUUGCAUGCAUUUUAUCUUCUUAAUUAUCUACUUACAUGAAGUCAUCUAUACAAAAGGUAUUAGUGGAACUGGAGAUUGAUAUCAGUAUAAUGGUCAAAUAGCAGGUAUGGAACUGUUAUUUCAAGCAACACCUCAAGAAAGGCAGGUAUGUGUGCAGGACAGAGCUCCGGGUGACCUUGGACUGACCCAGUUCUCUCCCCCUUUCUCAUGUGAGGUUCUCAAACAUAAACAUAGAGAAUAUGCUGGCAGUGCAGCUUGCCGAGAUAAGAAGGAACAGGCUCUAUUCCUGCCCCUCCUGGAACAAGAUGUCCUUCAGCAUUUUAGCUUGGCAAAUUAUGUUAUCCCUGGGAUAUAAAACCCAAGGUACACUGUUUUCAGCUGCAGUGCAGGUGGGGCACACAUAAGAUGCCAGACACCCUGGGCAGCUUUUCUGAGCUUCGGAAAAGCUCAUCAUGAAUUCUAGGGCUCUGCUUCCCCUUACCACCUAUCUGUGAAUAAUAAAAUUGCUUCACAUAACUUGUAUGAGUAUUAUGUCUCACCUGACUCAUGCAAGUGAUAAAAAUUGCAGAUCCAAAUGCAGUGGACUGAAGUGUUAUGACUUCUCUUUCUCGUGAUGGGCUUAGUGAUGAUAUUUGCUAUUCCCCAUGCAGUGGGAGUUUUUCCCAGCGGUUGGUAACCAGUGCACAGUUCACCUGCUUCACAAUGCAGAGGAGGGGAAGCUGAAGGUUGAAGAACCAGAGGAGGUCAUAUUCAAGCAGAGGUCACAAGCACUGGGAAAUUAGGACACCUUGCAAUAGUAUAUAAAUUCGAGGUUAGGACCCAAUUAUAGAUUGCAAAAUCAAAGAUUUAAUUCAGAGAUCAGGGAGCUUGUUUUCAGUAACCAGUUAUCAGGAAGGAGUCAGAAGUCUAGAAGAAAAUUAACUGUGCCUGAAACAAGAAGAGGCAUAUGAGGUCCAGAAUUCAGAUCUAGAGAACAUGUCAUAAUGCUCAAAGUGCUGGCAUAAUCCAAAGGCAAUGAUGUUUUCUUCACACUUUCUGCCACGACAGGGUGAAGUCUCAGCAGGAGAAGGAUCAAGGUUCAUUCUUAUAUCCUACUAUUUAUUUAAUUUGGUUCAUCUUUAACCUCAUUCUCUAAUACUCAUUUUCCUUAUCUCUCUGGGGUAGCCUCUUUGGACCACUAGACUUUGAAGAUGUCAAGCAUUCACAUUUGCUGCUGCCUGCAAAACCUUGCCCCUAGACAGUUGCACUGUUCAUUUUCACAUGGCCUCUGUUCUGACAUCACCUCCUCAGUGAUGUCUUUGCUAACAACCCUAUGUAAAAUAGAACCAACACAUUAGUCUUCAGCCCUUACUUGUUUCAUUUCCAUUCAUAGACCUUAUCCCUAUGAUACUGCAUUGAAUCUUUAUUUAUUUGCAAACAGAAGCUCUAUAUAAUGGAUAAUUUGUCUACUUCCCACCUAUUCCCAGGAAUAUUCUUCUGGAAAGAAGACUAACACAUUUAUUUUUUUAAACAAAUAAAUUAAUAAACAAACAGUAGAAGCUACAGCUAGCUGGAAAUUUAAGUGAAAAAGAAUUACAGAUAAUUGUGUGAGCUCAUCGAGAGUCUGUUCAUAAGUAGGACAGCCAUUUGCCAGAGUUGAGAGAAGCAGUCUCAUUAUACAAUUAUAGUUCUAACAAGUUCUUGAUAGUGCCCCUGUUUACACUCAAACUGUCAUCGAAACUAGAGUAAUCUAAGUAAAAUAUUUGGGAAAGCUUGCAUGAGAUAGGAGCAAGUAAUAGGUGAGUUUUGACAAUGUUAUCACCUGAACACUUGUUUUGAUUGGUUCUUUAUCCACUGAAACUGUGCAUGCCUCUAUUAGAGGCCAAUCUCUAAAGCAAUAGCUAUGAACUCAAAUGCUUCAGGAGCCAGCCAGAUGAUUAAAAUGUGUGGCACGGGCAUCUGUGAAGAUUGUAUAUGAAAAGCUAGACUUCUAUGUCCUAUGUUCUAUGCUGUGCCAUUUGUGUUGUCAUGUUAAAAUGCAGGCCUGGCCAGGCAUGUGCCUGUAAUCCCAGCUACUUGGGAGGUUGAGGCAGGAUAAUCCACUUGAACCCCGAGAGGUAGAGGUUGCAGUGAGCCAAGAUCGGGCCAUUGCUCUCCAGCCUGGGCGACAGAGUGGGACUCCAUCUCAAAAAACAAAAUGUAAGCCCAAUAGUGUCAUUCUUCCACAUUCUAAAGAAAAACUAUAAAUCUAGAUUUUAUGUAAAUUUUUUAAAUGUUGACAACUAAUCCAAACAAACAUUGUCAGAUAUCAUGUCAGCAAAACAAAUAACAUCUUCUGCCAAGACACUGUCUCUGAGCUUCUCUUAAGCUCAAAAUAUUGUAAAAUGUAUUGGAGGUUCACUUCUCAUGGCUAAAAAGAAUUUAAAUUUCUUUAGGAUUUUCUGACAGGGUACGGUGCCUCAUGCAUGUAGUCCCAGCUACUCAGGAGGCUGAGGCAGGAGAAUCAGUGAGUCAAGAUUGCGCCACUGCACUCCAGCCUGGGCAAUAUAGCAAGACUCUGGAUCCAAAAAAUAUAUAAAAUAAAAAUGAUUUUCUUAUACUUAUGGGCAACACAGAAAUUUUUACCGCUUUCUUAUUUUGUUUUGUUUCAAUAAAUUGUGAGAGAAUUUGGCCAGAAACUUCUCUGCACAUUCAUGGAAUAUUGAACAGAAGAAAAAUUCAAAAAGCAGUCUCAAGAGAGAAAAUAUAAUGGAUUUGGGAUGUAGAUG